UUGAAGAACUACAUGCCCCAUGAUGCCUCGCUUUCAAGAUGACCAAAUGGAACACAGAGCAGACCAGCCGUUGUGACAGCUGAGCGUCAAGUUUGCUUCAGCAAACUUCACCGCCGGGCUACGACCUUGAAUAGACACGAAUGCAAUAAACAUGACACGCUCAGGACAGGACAGAAGCCGGCCGGUAUAGCAACACUUGCAGCAGAGAGCAUUUCAUUGGAUGGACACACACUAAAGGAGACAGUACCCUAUAUACGCAGAACAUCACAUGCUAAGAUAACUAUUGCAGCAACACAUCAUUACCUUCUCAGCCAAUCAGAGCCUGAUGCCCUGGAAGCCUGCGUUGUCUCCCUGAGCCACCAGGGGGCUUCAGUCCCACAGAGGGACACCCAGCUCUGAGUUUGCCUUCACCCUGAACCCUCCAGCCCCAGUCAAGCUGUCCCACCCUGCCCCCUCUCACUCCUCUUCUUCUCCUCCUGCUCCUCUUUCUUCUCCCUCCUGG